rnacentral:rRNA from 1 species
GAUGAACGCUGGCGGCGUGCCUAAUACAUGCAAGUCGAGCGAACAGACGAGGAUCUUGCUCCUCUGACGUUAGCGGCGGACGGGUGAGUAACACGUGGAUAACCGACCUAUAAGACUGGGAUAACUUCGGGAAACCGGAGCUAAUACCGGAUAAUAUAUUGAACCGCAUGGUUCAAUAGUGAAAGACGGUUUUGCUGUCACUUAUAGAUGGAUCCACGCCGCAUUAGCUAGUUGGUAAGGUAACGGCUUACCAAGGCAACGAUGCGUAGCCGACCUGAGAGGGUGAUCGGCCACACUGGAACUGAGACACGGUCCAGACUCCUACGGGAGGCAGCAGUAGGGAAUCUUCCGCAAAGGGCGAAAGCCUGACGGAGCAACGCCGCGUGAGUGAUGAAGGUCUUCGGAUCGUAAAACUCUGUUAUUAGGGAAGAACAAAUGUGUAAGUAACUAUGCACGUCUUGACGGUACCUAAUCAGAAAGCCACGGCUAACUACGUG